AACGAACGCUGGCGGCAGGCUUAACACAUGCAAGUCGAACGCCCCGCAAGGGGAGUGGCAGACGGGUGAGUAACGCGUGGGAACAUACCCUUUUCUACGGAAUAGCUCUGGGAAACUGGAAUUAAUACCGUAUACGCCCUACGGGGGAAAGAUUUAUCGGGGAAGGAUUGGCCCGCGUUGGAUUAGCUAGUUGGUGGGGUAAAGGCCUACCAAGGCGACGAUCCAUAGCUGGUCUGAGAGGAUGAUCAGCCACAUUGGGUCUGAGACACGGCCCAAACUCCUACGGGAGGCAGCAGUGGGGAAUAUUGGACAAUGGGCGCAAGCCUGAUCCAGCCAUGCCGCGUGAGUGAUGAAGGCCUUAGGGUUGUAAAGCUCUUUCACCGAUGAAGAUAAUGACGGUAGUCGGAGAAGAAGCCCCGGCUAACUUCGUG
rnacentral:rRNA from 1 species